GCCUAUUAAACAGUGGUUGAUAAACAAACUCAGGAAAUGAACUGUUAUGGACAGCAGUUUAAUUCUCCGUGCAAUAACUCCACACUGCUCAAUUAAUUUGAAAAUUAGUUUCCCGAAUCCACCCUCUUAGAGAUUUGUCACAGAACGUUUAAGCCUGAGGGGGACCGGGAGCUUUGUUAAUGUCCUCAUUUGCAGACACGGAAAUGAAGUUCAGAGGAGGUAGAUGAGCCUCACUGGACACCCUGCUCGUUAAUGGAAGUGCUUUAGCCUCUCACGCCUGCAACUGGACUCUUCCUUCCACCAUGAUGUCUUUCAGAAGAAAAUUGAGAGAGAGAGAGAGAGAGAGAUCAAAGGGAUUCGGCAACUGAAAUGGAGACAACUCCAGGGAAGCAACACAACUACUGUCACUUAAAAGCGAAUCUUUGCUGCUGCCUCAGGGUCCUCUCCUCCCUGCUAUAUCUUCAGGAGCCACUCCCAUCUUCCAGAGGAGCCCUGCCCUGUGCACACUUGAGCUGUGGCUUCUUCCUUCCAGUAGAGCCCAUCUGUCCUGGCCUUUGAAGGAGUUAAUCAAGCCAUAUGUCAAACAUUUUCCAUUCUCCCCUCUCCAGGCCACUGACAGGACUGCACGUCCUGGGGCCACGCUCACUCUUGCGAUUUCCCCUCUCAGAACUCAGCCACCAUGUUGUCAGAAGCCUGAGCCACAUGGGCAUGGAGAGACCACAGGUGGCCACUUCAGCUGACAGCCCAGCUGGGCUCCCAGCUGAUGACUAGCAUCAACUAUCAGCCAUGUGAAUGAGCAGCCUUGAACAUUCCAGACCAUUCAAGCCCCCAAGUGACUGCAGCCCCAGCCAAUAUCACAUGGACCAUAAGAACCACUCAGCUGAAGCACAUCAACCCACAAAAUUGUGAGAGAGAACAUAAUGGUUGUUGUUCCACACCACUAAAUUUUGGGGUAGUUAGGCAGCAAGAGAUAACCAAAACAAGGCCUCUGAUUCAACUGCUGUUGAUGACAGAGAACAGAGGGUCAUAUCUACAUGUAUAAUAGGCAUAGAGCCUAAGCAGUAGCCCAGGAAAUAGUGAACAAAGAGGCCUGGGACACUGGCAAGCCUAGGACUGCAGGUAUCAGUGAAAUCAAGUGACUGGAUGUUCAUGAGUAGCAAAGGCAUUAUAAAUGUGACUUAUUAAACAAGUUAGACAUGUCUCCAGUCAAAUAUGAUUUGACUAAACAUACAAUUUUACAUGCCCAUCACUGUCACAGAUACUAUAAUACUGUGUCUAGUAAGUAAGUAGGGACAGUGUGCUGGGACUGGGACUAUAUGGGACUUCACACAUAUUCUUCUUCUUCUUUUUUGAGAUGGAGUCUAGCUCUGUCACUCAGACUGGAGUGCAGUGGUAUGUUCAUAGCUCACUUGCAGCCUUGACCUCCAGGACUCAAGCAAUCCUCCCACCUCUGCCUCUUGAGUAGCUGGGACUACAGGCACUCGUCACCAUGCCCAGCUUAUUUUGUUUAUAUUUUGUAGAGAUGGGGUCUCACUAUGUUGCCCAGGCUGAUCUUGAACUCCAGAGCUCAAGCCAUCCUCCUAACUCAGGCUCCCAAAGUGUUGGGAUUACAGGCAUGAGCCACUGUGCCCAGCCCACACACAUUAUUCUUAAUCCUCACAAGAGUAUAAAAUGUAAGCAUACUAAUCACUCCCUUGCUCCCCUCUCCCUCUUUCCUUUCCUAAUUCCUUUCCUUCCCCCUUUUGUUUUUCCUUAUUUCAUCAAGAAGAGUAGUUUUAAAUUUUUAAAAUCACAGCAUCCAUUGUUAGAUGAAUAAAGCUUCCUAUCAUUACUUUGGAGCAAAAGAUAGAAUCCAGAGCUCUGGGUCUGUUUUUCUUCCAAUUCUUCCUAAUAUGCUGAGAGAUAUGCAAUAAUACUUCUCAUUUUCCUGGCUAGUUAGAAACAACUUCAGCUUCUCAUGCCUGUUGAAGGUUGAGUUAAUAUUUGAAAAGUGAUAUGCCGAUUUACAGUCUAAAACUGUAGACUGUAAAACUGCAGCCAAUUAUCCUUUAACUCACCUCUCC
rnacentral:lncRNA from 10 species